CAUACAUUCUGAAAGAGAAAAUUAAGAUCUGUUCAAAACAUUGUUUCUAGACGUUAGAAUAAAACCUUAAGCUGCUAUUAUCAAGGGAGUGCAGCAAAGAGGGAUCAUUUUACAAAACAGUGUGGGAAAGAUGUUUUAUAUGUCAAGACUUGCUGAUCUACAAAUUAUAUUAAGGCACCACACUUUACAAAUUUUGCAUUAAGGAACUUGUGCAACUUGCAUUUAUUUUUCCAUUAAUAUACAAAGCAGAAACAUCAAACUAAUGACAUUCACAAGUGGGAGAAGAUAUAAAUAAGGAGGGUGGGCAAUUUUUUAGCCAUUUCUCUUCAGUAAAUAUGAAACCAGUAUGAUGCUUUAUCAAUUUGGUGAUGGUGGCUUUUUUUUUAAAAAAGGAUACUUUCCCUCUUUCCAACAUUGUUGCUCAAAGUUCAAAGAAAAUACCUACAAUAUGAGAAGAAAUCUAUAUGAUGCCAAGGUUUUCUAAAGAUUGAUGAAACAUGACGACUCUCAAGAUCUCAGCAGAUCAUUUACAGAAUGAAGUAUAAUUCUAAUCUACACUUACUGGACCCUGAUGUUAUCAAAUUCCUUGAUUUUUGCCAAAGUAAUCUGCUUUUGCUUCUGCAAUUCGGACGAUGUUUUCUUUAAUUUGUUCAGAAGGGAUCCAAGGGAACUGUCCUGUUCUGCUACAGUUUGCUCCAUCUCUGCCAGACGAAUUAAAUGUUUAUUUGCUGGGACAGCUAAAGAUGGCUUUUUCACCAACUCCUGUGGAACAAAACAGGUUAUCUAAUGAAUAAAUAAAUAUUCUAUUG